rnacentral:lncRNA from 1 species
UCCUCAUCAAAAGAUAAUGGCACUAACACAUAACUCAUUAAGUUACACUACGUACAAUUGAAAUCAACGGGAUUACAAAACACACUAAAAUAGCUAUCUAAUGAUAACUUUUUAAAAACGGUUAAAUUUUUUUUUUUUUUUUUUUAAUUAUUUCAGGUAAAGGAACUUUCCUAAAAACAUUAAUUGAUAAAGAUAACUUAUAUAAUUUUCAUGAAAUGUUUACUUUUUUGAGUUUUUCAAAGAGCAAAUUCGUUCCCCAAACAGACGCUAUCCUAAAUGGAACAUAUUAAACACACGGAACAAGUUGUGUUGCGUACGGUAUUAUUAUUCAUGUUUUGCAUAUACAAUAUUAUGUCAAUGGCAAAUAUAUUAAAAAUGUUUUGCAUGUUGUGCAUUUUGCCUAACGUUUAUGGAACACACAAACGUUACGUACAUCCCAAUUCGCCGUUCUACUAAUUCGUAUUUCUUCAUACUUAUAUGUAUGCAUUCAAAUAUAGAAAUUUAAUGGAGUCAUGGGUGUUGGUGUGUGGUAACAUUUACAUAAACAUAAGCAUAAAGAUUUUCAAAAAAAUUGAACGAAAAAAAUAAAAACACUCGAAAUUGGAAUCCAAGGCAACAAGGAGACUAUAGCCCCACAUUUAUCAUAAUAAAUACAAUCAAUUAAUUUCCUCUACUACUACUACAUGACCUUAUCAGAAAAAGCUCAUAAAAACCAAAUGAGCCCACACCCUUCUCCUUC